AGAUCAUCACUGGGUGUAAAGCGUGCGCAGGCGGUUUUGUAAGACAGAGGUGAAAUCCCCGGGCUCAACCUGGGGACUGCCUUUGUGACUGCAAGGCUGGAGUGCGGCAGAGGGGGAUGGAAUUCCGCGUGUAGCAGUGAAAUGCGUAGAUAUGCGGAGGAACACCGAUGGCGAAGGCAAUCCCCUGGGCCUGCACUGACGCUCAUGCACGAAAGCGUGGGGAGCAAACA
rnacentral:rRNA from 1 species